rnacentral:lncRNA from 1 species
ACCUGGGGAGUGUUAAACACUUCUGACGCCUGGGUCCCAGGCCCAGAGAUGCCAACUUCACUUGUCUGGGAUGUAGCCUGGCUAUCUUUUUUUCCUGAAAUCUCCCCAGGUGGUUCCCGGGUGCAGCCUAAGUUGAGAACUACUGUCCCAGAAGGCCGCCUGUUCUGAGGAAUUCUUCCAUCAUCGUUAAGCUGCUCUUUAUUAAGCUGGCUCGCCGGCAGGAGUUGACUUGGUAUCAGGUGACUUCUAAGUUAGAGCAGCCUGGUGCCGUGUUACAGCCCUGCUUCAAUUACCUUACCUGGAGUAAGUACUAUUUUUACAUCUGAUGACCCACUGUGUGCCAUCGCCUAUCUACUGGGCUGGAUGCGCGUAUACAAAGACAAUAAAGCCAGAACUUCUCUCAAGGUGUUUACAACCUGCUGUUUUUCUCCUUGAGACUGGCGUUUGCUUUCAGUGAAUAUGAUCAGUGACAGGGAUCCUGAAAGGAGAGCACAAUAAAGCUCUGCAGAAGCCUCCAUCUGCCAAAAUAAGGUAAAGAAACCACCAAAACCUUUCAAACAGAGAUUAUAAACAGAACAAUGGUUCUGGGACCAGUGGGCCUGGAGAGAAGAGAAACUAGAAGCAGAACAAACAUUUAGGAGGCAAUUGAAAUAAAUUACUGAUUACAGCUUCUUUGUUUUGAUAGCCACUAGACACUCAUGGCUAUUGACCACUUUUAAUGUGACUAGUGUCACAUGUUAAAAUGAUAAUAUUUGGGAUAUACUGGAUUAAAUAAAAUAUCAAAAUUAAUUUAACCUGUUUCUUUUCACUUUUUAUAAUGUGGCUACUAGUAAUUCUAAAUUACACACAUUGUUUGCCUUAUAUUUCUAUUGAACACUGCUGGAUUCAAGGAAAGAGUCAAAUGAGAGGGAAGAAUCAAGCUGCUCAGG